rnacentral:rRNA from 1 species
AUAUCAGUAAGCGGAGGAAGAGAAACCAACAGGGAUUCCCUUAGUAACGGCGAGUGAAGCGGGAACAGCUCAAAUUUAAAAUCUCGCAGGUCUAUGAUCUGUGCGAAUUGUAGUUUUUCAAGAAGCGUUUUCAGGGAGAGCAAUGCCAGAGUCCGUUGGAACACGGCGCCAUAGAGGGUGAGAGCCCCGUAUGGCAUUGCAAUCUUUAUGUGAUACGUUUUUCAAAGAGUCGGAUAGCUUGGGAAUGCUGUCCAAAGUGGGUGGUAAAUACCAUCUAAAGCUAAAUAUUGGCAAGAGACCGAUAGCGCACAAGUA